rnacentral:lncRNA from 1 species
GUCUUUGCAGGUCUUGCCGGGGCAUCGCAAGACGGUCGGCAGCACGGUGCUGCGCCUCCCCAGGAAGUUCCAGCACUAGCCAGAAAGCCAACACCCGCCAGAGCAAGCGCAAGAGAAGCAAGAGCUCCAUCCCGGUCAGGAACUGAAGCUCUUGACACGGCACCGCGCCUGCCUUACUUAAAAUUCUGUAUAGGUUCCUCUGCAGAAGCGUACCUGGAAAGGGAGCUAGAAGAGAAGCUCUUCUCUGCAUUUCUUAAAAGAAUACUCGGACAGUAUUUUUAUUUUAUAUGUGCAUGUACAAAAAAAAAAUUUUGUGUGUGGCAAUGAACGUUUUAUUAUAAUAGACUGUGUUUUGCGUUUAAUUUCAUUUUGAGGCUAGCGUCUCUUGUGUUACUCGAUGAAGCGCACUACAAUUUAACGCGCAAUGUGUGAAAUGUUGUUCAAGUCCUGAACAUAUUUUUAUUUUAUGUGUAUGUACAAAAAGUUUUUGUGGCAAUGAACAUUUUAUUACACUUUACUGUGUUUUGUGUUUGUUUAAUUUCAUUUUGAGGCUAGCGUCUUUUGUUACUUGAUAAAGCGCGCUACAAUUUAACGCGCAAUGUGUGAAAUGUUGUUGAAGUCCUGAACAAUCGUGAUGUUAAAAAAAGUGUGAGCAUUUUAUGUGUUGCAGUUCCGCGUUGUGGUGAUUCCAUUCCAGAAAAGACAUUUCGCUUAAUAAAUGUGCAACAAGGUUUGGGCCACAGUGCAUGAUAUGCCAAAUGUUCAGGCUUUGGACGAUAGUGAUGUACUACGAACAAAAAGUCUGGCGAUGCAUUUUUUCACCUGUGACAGUCAUUCAUUUCUUUUAAUUUUAUUCCAAAACGGACAUCUGCGACAUACUUGAUAUGUGCUACAAUUUUGGGCACUUGAUGCACAAUACUCAAGAUAUUCAGCUUCCGAACAAUCGUGAUCCAACGAAAGCAGUGUGGCUUCAAGUGUUUCAUGCGUGAUAGUUCAUGUUUAAUUAAUUCUAUUCAAAAACGGACAUAUUCAUUUUAAUAAGCCAGAAUUUUCACAUAUGUUAUAUGCAAUGCCCAGGCUUCGUAUGAUCAUGAUGUACAGACCAAAAUCGUGUGACAAUGAACGUUUUAUGCGUGACAGUUCUUCGUGCGCAUUUAAAUUGUAUCUCAAAAUAGUUGUCUAUAGCUUUUUCACCCUACAUUAAAGCCGCAAACAACCACGAUGUUCAAAAUAAAAAAAAAGUUGUGCGUCAGUGAUCAUUUUAUG